ACUACGUGCCAGCAGCCGCGGUAAUACGUAGGACCCAAGCGUUGUCCGGAUUUACUGGGUGUAAAGGGAGCGCAGGCGGAUUAUUAAGUCGAUUGUGAAAUCUUGCGGCUCAACCGCAAAACAGCAGUCGAUACUGAUGAUCUUGAGUGUGGAAGAGAGUGGCGGAAUUCAUGGUGUAGCAGUGAAAUGCGUAGAUAUCAUGAAGAACACCGGUUGCGAAGGCGGCCACUUAGUCCAUUACUGACGCUCAUGCUCGAAAGCGUGGGGAUCAAACAGGAUUAGAUACCCUGGUAGUCCACGCCCUAAACGAUGAAUACUCGGUGUCGGGUCGCAAGAUUCGGCGCCUAAGCAAACGCAUUAAGUAUUCCACCUGGGAAGUACGAUCGCAAGGUUGAAACUCAAAGGAAUUGACGGGGGG
rnacentral:rRNA from 1 species